rnacentral:tRNA from 1 species
GUGAUUUUAGUUUAUUAAAAAUUUCUACCUUGCACGUAGAGGACCCGAGCAUUUUCGGAGAUCACA